rnacentral:misc_RNA from 1 species
GAUGAAGAACGUAGCGAAACGCGAUACGUAAUGUGAAUUGCAGAAUUCAGUGAAUCAUCGAAUCUUUGAACGCACCUUGCGCCCCUCGGCAUUCCGAGGGGCAUGCCUGUUUGAGUGUCACGGAUCCUUCGAACCCCGCCGGUCUCCGACGAGCCGGCCGCCUGGGUUCGGUCCUGGGCGCUACGCCACCCCUCCGGGGCUGGCUCGCCUCAAAAGCAUCAGCUGGGCCUCGCGGCGUGGGCGGGCUCCGAUCGGCGUGAUAAGUCAUCUGCCGAGAGGGUGCCCGUCCGUCCCGCGGAUCGCGGUCCGCUCCCAACCCCUCCCCGCGCGCCGUCCCCCCCCCGGGGAGCGCGCGGGGACGUUUCGACGCUCUGGCCUCAAAUCAGGUAGGACCACCCGCUGAACUUAAGCAUAUCAAUAAGCGGAGGA